GACGAACGCUGGCGACGUGCCUAAUGCAUGCAAGUCGAACGCGGGGAGCUUGCUCCGCCGCGUGGCGCACGGCUGAGGAACACGUGGGUAUCAACCCUGGAGUGGGGGAUACCCCAUCGAAAGAUGGGACAAUCCCGCAUACGUUCCGCAAGGAAGAAAGGCGCAAGCCGCUCUAGGACGAGCCUGCGGCCCAUCAGGUAGUUGGCGGGGUAACGGCCCACCAAGCCUUUGACGGGUCCCUGGUCUGAGAGGACGACCAGGCAGACUGGGACUGAGACACGGCCCAGACUCCUACGGGAGGCAG
rnacentral:rRNA from 1 species